GCUUUUUGAUAGGGUAGGAUUUAGAUAGGUGGAGUAGACAGAAUGGAAUGCUGGGAGAAAGAAAGCAUAGUGAGUCAGACGCCAUGAUUCUUCGACCUGAGAUGGAUGUAGGCUAGAAUCUUUCCUGAAUGUCUUGCAGACUCUUUCAUGAAACAGGAACCCUGAAGGAUUGUCUCACCUUUAGGGUGGCAUUGGCUUUUUCUCAGCUUGCUGGGAAGAGCCGGGCUCCGAAAUACAAGGCAGUACGUAGUCUGGGCCUGCCUGGUGGCUGGAGCGGUGGCAUUGGAAGGUUUGCUCAUGGGAUGGUUCAGGCACUGCUCAGAUUCUCCUGUCCUUCAUCUCGGGGUACCUUCCCCCCUCUUGUCUUAAUUGGCUAAUAAUGCCUGGAAGUGUACCCUUUUACACAGUCUUGUUCCGUGAUUAACACGAGCCUUUCCCUUAAACAUAGGAGAGAUAAUGACUCACCAAUUAAAAGUAGAAACUAUUUAUGCAGAGGACCUAAGUCGGUUCCCAGAACCCACAUCCAGUGACUCACAACUGCCUAUAACUCCAGCUUCAGAGAAUCUAACACUCCCUUGUAUCCUUGGCUCUUGGGGGGGGGGCUGUUGCCACCCAGCUCCCAAAUAAAUCACACGGAGGCUUCUAUGAAUGCCUGUCCUUAGCUUGGCUUGUUUCUAACCAGCUUUUCUUAACUGAUAUUGUCCUGUCUAUCUUUCGCCUCUGGACUUUUUUUUUUUUUUUUUAUGUAUACAGUGUUCCGCCUGCAGGCCAGAAGAGGGCAUCAGAUCCCAUUAUUGAUGGUUGUGAGCCACCAUGUGGUUGCUGGAAGUAGAACUCAGGAUCUCUGGAAGAGCAGUCAGUGCUCUUAACCUCUGAGCCAUCUCUCCAGUCAACCUCUGGGCUUUUACUUUUCUCUAUUUCUGUGUACCUUUCUUUUCCUUCUAAAUCUGUGUUUGGCUGUGUAUCUGGGUGGUAGCCUUCUUUUCUUGCUCCUUGAUCUUGCUUCUUCUUCUCUUCCCAGAUUUUUCCUUCUAUUCAUUCUCUCUGCCUGCCAGCCCUGCCUAUCCUUUCUCCUGCCUUGCUAUUGGUCGUUCAGCUCUUUAUCAGACCAAUCAGGUGUUUUAGACAGGUAAAGUAACACAGUAUCACAGAGUUGAACAAAUGCAACAUAAAUGAAUGCGACACACCUUACAUUAUUAAAACAAAUAUUUCACAGCAUAAAUGAAUGUAACACAUCUUAAAAUAAGGUACUACGACAUUCUCGUCUGGCCUCAGUGGGUACUGCACUCAUUUACACAAACCCGUAUACAAACACACAUUUAUACAUGCAAUUAAAAGUAGCAAUAAAGUAUUUUUUAGAUGUUGACCCUCUAAUGAAAAACACAAAGUGAAAUGCCAGGAGAUGUUGUUGCUCAUGUUGUAUGUUGACCAAGAUAAAAACAAAACAAAAUUAAAAAAAAAAUCAAGUAUAAACCCAGCAAACAAAUAAUAGAAAAAUAGGAUGGGAGGUGGUAGAGGGAGAUGAAUUGACGGCAGCAGCAGGAACUUCAGUUGUGAGCGUCUUUGGAUUCAGUCAGUGU